AUAUAUAUAUAUAUAUAUAUAUAUAUAGACAGGAUCCGUUGACACCAGGUGUAAGUCCAAAUCUCAACCGCUUAAUUAAACAAAUCCUACGGCUCACAUGUCUUGCUAAAUAUAACAAUUAGAAACUCACGUGACACUUUUUCCCUGCAAAAUCAUCUUACGAUCUUACUUUGUUCCUCUCCUCACUGUCAUCGACCUUUGUUCCUCACCACCACCGACAAUGUUUUUCCUUUUCCGUUUCCUCCUCACCGUCACCGUGCUCUUUGCUACUUCGUUCGGCACCAUCGUCACCGUCGCCGACGAAGUCCUUAUCACAACAGUGCGCCGUACUUUCAACCUUCAUUCGGCACCACCGUCAUUGUCGUCGACGAAGCCCUUAUCACAACACUGUGUCGUUCUUUCAACUGAUCAAUUGAGGGUUUCAUUUUCUCACCUCUUAUCAAUUGAAGCUACAAUCUGAAAUCCCCAAACAUGGUUGUAUGAAACCCGGUGUUCUGAUUUCAUCAACAGAGUUGCGGUCUUAUUUGGAGAAAUGAGAUGUAGGUAGAUUCAUCGAUAUAGUUGUGGUCUUGGUUGGAGAAAUCGGCUGAUUAUAUCAGGUUGUAUGAAACCAAGCUUUCUUACUAGGAUAGACCAAGUGACAUAUUGCAUAUCACAGUGCAUUGGCAAUAAUCACAGCAAAAAGAACUGCCCUGGUUGCUGACAUGAAGAGGAGGAACCUAGGUGAAGAGUAGCAAGUGUUUCAACAAAGUUGAAGGCCAAAAACACCAUACAAAAAGAAGUUGAAUUCGCUGAGAUAAUCCAUUUACAGAUGCAGAUAUAGGUAUGAAAGAGUGGCUUGUAAAGUGCUUUUAUCAAAGAGAAUGAAGGUGACAAAGAUGGUUUAUUGUGAUUUAGUUUAAAAGCUUGAAUUAUGGAUGCUUUUGCAAUGAAGACAUUGAGUGUGAAAGGAAGUGAAAAGAUUGAACAAGUGAUUGUUUGAAAAACUUGAGGUUAAAAAUGUGAACAAUAUAGAAUAGGAAGGAUAUCCUGCAGCAUCAAAGAGAGUCCUUAAACGAUUAUAAAUGGUGGACAAGGGUUCUUAAAUGAUGGUUGUGUGAGUGCUUAUAGGCCUGGCAAGAUGGAUUCAAAGUCACGUAAUUUGUGUACUCCAAACUGUUCGGAUUGAACUUUGAUGAACUGUAAUAUUCCAAUUGUGUAAAUAUAGGUGGUAAAAGCAAGAAGAUGUUGUGAAACUAAAAGCCUUGGAGAAGAAAUGAUGUGAUAGCGGAAGAGGAAGAAAUUUACGCGAAAAAGAAUUAGAUGCUUAGCAACUACAAUGAUCACUCAUUGUUGUUAUUUCUAAAUGGCGUAGUUUGAAUGUUCUCAUUGUAAUUUUCAAUUAGAGUUAGUUUUGUAGUAUCAUCAAAUUAAAUGUACUAUGCAAUAUUAUAUGAAAUGGGAAUAAAAAAAUUUCUUCUUCUACUAUACAA